CAGAGACACAGAUCUACAGCUCAGAGCACAGACAACAUUAACACACACCUGAUCUGACCUAGUCAACAUGGAGAAACACCUGCUGCUGAUUUUAAUUCUGACUUCAGGUGUGAUGACUGCAGACCAGAUUGGACCAAAUCAAGAAACUAGUGUCAUGAAGAAGGAAGAUGAGACUGUGACCCUCAGCUGCACAUAUGAUACAAGCAGCAGUAAUAUUAGACUUUAUUGGUACAGACAGUAUCCUAAUGGAGAGCUUCACUAUUUAAUAUAUAAGAAUCCAAGAGGUGGAGGUGGGAGCCCCGAUGAUCCUCGCUUUCAGUCGACUACACCACAAUCAUCCACUAAACUCAUUAUUACUGGUGUAACUCUGUCAGAUUCAGCUCUCUAUUAUUGUGCUCUCAGAGUUGGAUCACAGUGA